UAAAUGGCUAGGGCAUGCAACCCGAAAAGGAAUUAACCUGAUUCCCUGCCACUUAACUAUUCAGGU
rnacentral:sRNA from 1 species